rfam:Hebeloma cylindrosporum h7 unplaced genomic scaffold scaffold_8, whole genome shotgun sequence.
GCAUUAAUGGGGUAGUGGUAACCUGGGUCGUUGCCACCUUAGGAAUAAUCUGGUAUCUAGCUCGACCCGCCGGGGGUUCGAUUCCCUCUUAAUGCA